rnacentral:lncRNA from 1 species
ACUAUUGUCAUCACCACCAACAUGGCCAUCAUCUCUGGGUAGUGCCAGCAAGACACUUCUUGGGAACUAGGACAUGAGUUACCUCUAGCAACCUCUCAUGUGAAACUGUGUUAAGAGGGCUGUGGUUGGUCAAUCCCCUCUUAUUAUCAGUGGGCAUGGCUGACCUCACUUUCUUCCAGUCAAAGCUCAGAUGUAUCCAGGGAUCAGCAGAACCUUUCCCAGUUUGGGAGAGAAGAUUCUUCAAUUUGGAGAUGCCCAGGGCUUCAAGCUACUCUGCCUUUGCCAGAAAUUGCAGUUGUCAUAUGGAACUGCAUUUCCAGGCUGAAAUGAUCUGGCCCAGGCAGCAUUCAUUACAGGUACCGCUUGGCUGAUUCUUCCUCAUUGUGAAGGGCCCGAAUUUAGGGUCUGUUAAACUUCCUUCAUGUGUCCUAUGCCGUUCUUAUCCUGCACCAUCCUCAUCGCAACAGAC